ACCUCGGAUCAGGUAGGAAUACCCGCUGAACUUAAGCAUAUCAAUAAGCGGAGGAAAAGAAACCAACAGGGAUUGCCCUAGUAACGGCGAGUGAAGCGGCAACAGCUCAAAUUUGAAAUCUGGCUUCGGCCCGAGUUGUAAUUUGCAGAGGAUGUUUCUGGCGCGGUGCCUUCCGAGUUCCCUGGAACGGGACGCCACAGAGGGUGAGAGCCCCGUAUGGUUGGACACCAAGCCUGUGUGAAACUCCUUCAACGAGUCGAGUAGUUUGGGAAUGCUGCUCUAAAUGGGAGGUAAAUCUCUUCUAAAGCUAAAUACCGGCCAGAGACCGAUAGCGCACAAGUAGAGUGAUCGAAAGAUGAAAAGCACCUUGAAAAGGGGGUUAAAUAGUACGUGAAAUUGUUGAAAGGGAAGCACUUAUGACCAGACUUGGGCCGGGCGGCUCAUCAGGGGUUCUCCCCUGUGCAUUCCGCCCGGCACAGGCCAGCAUCGGUUUUCGCGGGGGGAUAAGACCGUCAGGAACGUAGCACCCUCCGGGGUGUGUUAUAGCCUGGCGGACGAUACUCCCGCGGGGACCG
rnacentral:rRNA from 1 species